rnacentral:rRNA from 1 species
UACGUAGGGUGCAAGCGUUAAUCGGAAUUACUGGGCGUAAAGCGUGCGCAGGCGGUUUGCUAAGACCGAUGUGAAAUCCCCGGGCUUAACCUGGGGACUGCAUUGGUGACUGGCAAGCUAGAGUGUGGCAGAGGGGGGUAGAAUUCCACGUGUAGCAGUGAAAUGCGUAGAGAUGUGGAGGAAUACCGAUGGCGAAGGCAGCCCCCUGGGCCAACACUGACGCUCAUGCACGGAAGCGUGGGGAGCAAACAGG